rnacentral:rRNA from 1 species
GUUUCGCCCUGUUUACCAAAAACAUCGCUCCUUGGAAAGGUUUUCUAAUAUAUAAGGAGUUCUGCCUGCCCAGUGACAUAGUUAAACGGCCGCGGUAUUUUGACCGUGCAAAGGUAGCAUAAUCAUUUGCCUUUUAAAUGGAGGCUGGUAUGAAUGGCAAGACGGAAGUUUAGCUGUCUCUCUUUUAGAGCUUUAAAAUUAAUAUUUUUGUGAAGAAGCAGAAAUGAGAUCGUAGGACGAGAAGACCCUAUCGAGCUUAAGUAGUAUGGUGUAGAUUUAGAGUAUGCCUUUUGUAUUAAUUAUCCUUAUUUUUAGGGAAGAUGAAUUUAUUAGGGAGGUGUAGAAUUAUUAUGUCUUUUAUUUAGAUUGGGGCAAUCGCGGAAAAAAUCGAACUUCCGCUGUAAAUGUGAAUUAGAAAGUGACACCUUUAAAACAUAUUAAGUUAUAUUGGAAUGAUCCACUUUUUAGAAAGUGAGUAAAGGAAUAAGUUACCGUAGGGAUAACAGCGUAAUUUUUUUGGAGAGUUCAUAUUGAUAAAAGAGUUUGCGACCUCGAUGUUGGAUCGGGACUUCCGGGGGAUGCAGCAGUUCCUAAAGGUUGGUCUGUUCGACCAUUAAAGUCCUACGUGAUCUGAGUUCAGACCGGUGAAAGCCAGGUCAGUUUCUAUCUACG